AUGUUAGGGUGUCGUGGGGUGAUGUUAGGGUGUUGUGGGGUGAUGUGGGGCGCGGGCCCCGCCGCAGAGACGGAGCAGAGGCCAGCCGGGAGGGAGGCACGGCAGGCGAGAAAUUUAUGGGUGCGAUUGGAUGCAGGUCAGGGCGAGGAUGAGGGAUGGGUUAUUAAUGGGAAAGGAACGGGCAGGAAACGUCGCCGGAGCGAAUGGGCUGGAGCAGCAACGUGCGGAGACACGGGGCUCGGCCGAGAGGUUCAAAAGGGGAGAGAAGAAGCGCAAAAAAAGCAGCAAACGGUGGGCGAGAGAGGGAGGGGAGCGGACGGUCCUCCCGCUGCCGUACCGGGCCGGGGGUGCUCGGAGCGAUGUCCACGGCGAGGAUGGUCCCUCACGGCUCGGGCACGGCCCGCGGGGGGGCCCCGGGGCCAGGACCGGGCUGGAUGCGGGGGGGGCAGGGAGCGAGCGGCCGGGAGAGGGAAGCCGAGCGGGAGCCGCUGUGCCGGGCUCGAAGAGAAAGGAGCCGCGGCGGGGAGGCCGGGGCCGGCUCGUCCUCCGGGGAGGCCGGGAGGAGCCGGGAGGAGCCGUGCGGGGCCCGACGGCCGCGGGGCGGGGGGCGAGCGGGGCCGCCCCCGGGGGGAGCCGCGGCGGCGGAGCGCUCCUCGGCCGGACAGACACGUGUCUUCUGGCCGGGACCUGUCAAAGCCGGGAGAGCGGCUCCUGAUUUAUUACCCCAAACACACACACCCCCGCCCGCCUCCCCUCCUUCCCUCCCCUCCUUCCCUCCCUCCCUCCCCCCGGCCUCGCCGCCCUCCCUUCCCGGAGCGCUCCGCCGGGCGCCGAGCUCAAACCGGCCCCGGAGCGCGGCUUCCCCGAGGCCGGGGCCAGCUCCGGGGCUGCGGCACCAGCCCCAGCCGUGUCCCCCCCACCCCGCUAACCCCCGGCCCGGCCCCGGGGCUCAGCUCCGGGCGCUGGGUGCCGCUGCCCCCGCUCCCCGGGGCACGGAGACGGAGGGGACCCGGGGACGGGCUCCGGAGGCUGCGGGCUGCGAGCGGCGGGGCUGGGGCCGGGAGGGCUCCCAGGGGGCCGGGGGAAGCCCCCGCGGCCGGGCACGGGUGGGAGCGGCGGGGAGGGGGGCAGCAAACAAGUGGAAUUGGAAGAGGGGCUGCGGUACAAAAAGAGUUAAGGAAAAUAGAGGGAAAGAUCAAAGAGCCGGGUAAAAGACUCUUCAAAUUACACGUUUGA
rnacentral:lncRNA from 1 species